rnacentral:rRNA from 1 species
CGGCGGACGGGUGAGUAACGCGUGGGGAACCUACCUCGCACCGGGGGAUAACAGCCGGAAACGGCUGCUAAUACCGCAUAAGCGCACAGCAUCGCAUGAUGCAGUGUGAAAAACUCCGGUGGUGUGAGAUGGACCCGCGUUAGAUUAGCUGGUUGGUGGGGUAACGGCCCACCAAGGCGACGAUCUAUAGCCGGCCUGAGAGGGCGACCGGCCACAUUGGGACUGAGACACGGCCCAAACUCCUACGGGAGGCAGCAGUGGGGAAUAUUGCACAAUGGGCGAAAGCCUGAUGCAGCGACGCCGCGUGAACGAAGAAGUAUCUCGGUAUGUAAAGUUCUAUCAGCAGGGAAGAAAAUGACGGUACCUGACUAAGAAGCCCCGGCUAACUACGUGCCAGCAGCCGCGGUAAUACGUAGGGGGCAAGCGUUAUCCGGAUUUACUGGGUGUA